rnacentral:rRNA from 1 species
CGUCUCUCCAAAGCACUAUAUGGUUUGAAGCAAGCUCCUCGUGCCUGGCAUGCCCGCCUUGCCUCUGCCCUUCGUGCUCAUGGGUUUGUGCCGUCCACUGCUGACACUUCAUUAUUUCUUCUACAGAAGCCAGAAGUCACUAUGUAUCUUUUGGUAUAUGUCGAUGAUAUUAUCCUUGUCAGCUCUUCUCAGUAUGCUGCUGAUGCUCUUGUCUGCUCUCUUGGUGCUGAUUUUGCGGUCAAAGAUCUUGGGAAGCUUCACUACUUUCUUGGAGUUGAGGUCACUUCUCGUGCUACUGGUCUUGUCCUUACGCAGAAGAAGUACUCCUUGGAGUUGUUACAAAGAGCGGGCAUGCUGAAGUGCAAACCGACCACCACACCCAUGUCGUCUACUGACAAGAUAACAGCUGUUGAUGGUGAGCUUUUGUCUCCUGCGGAUGCCACAGAGUACAGGAGCAUUGUUGGU